CUAUUUCCUCCGGCAGUACAAAUACUCAAAUUGGAACGAUGCAGAAAAGAUGAGCAUGGCCCCUGCUCAAGGACGACACGCAAACAUCGUGACGUGUUAAAUAUUCUC
ensembl:snRNA U6 U6 spliceosomal RNA